rnacentral:lncRNA from 1 species
AUGGCUUGGACUUCCUGGGAGGCCAGGGAAUCCCUGAGAAGAAAAAGCCCCUCAUGCACGUGGGCGGGCGGCGGAGCAGACAUGCUGUCCCUUGCAGGCCCCUCCUGCCCCGGCUGGCUGUUCCUGCCCUGCCCGUCCAGCAGAUCGCGUUCAGGGCACCCCUCCGAGGAGGCACCGUAUCCAGCCCUCACCACCCCCUCCAAGAGUGUACGAAAGGAAUUCGCCCGGAUCCUGAGCGAUUCUGUUGUGCCCACCGUCGUCCCGGGCCUGAGACACAGCCACAGGCAGCACCGUUCAGGAGCACGCACGCACGGGGUCUCACGGGCAUCUGCGGUUGAGACAGCCUCGCAGACGCGGUCACACCUCAAGGACCUCGCAGAAGCAGACACAGAGCUACAGGGACACAGGCGCCCAGCGCCGCAGGCAGAGCUGCUCACGUGGAGACACACCCAGAAGCUGAGCAAGAGACCAAAUUACAAAGAUGCACGCCCUGAGACAAACGAGGAGGAAACUCAGAACCUAACAAACCCAUCACGCAGGCCGCGCAGGGAGAGGGAGACUGAAACACGCUGAGGUCUACAAACAAACCCACACCGACGCCCAGAGACACACCCCCCCCAACACACACACACACAUAAACCUCAGUCACGGAAGCACGCACCGUGGCACAUUCGUCCACACACAAGCCCCCACCCCAGCAUUCUCUGGGACACACCCCACGCCCUCAAGGUCACCCAUUUCGCACCCUCACUCACACUCGCAUGCGUUUGAAAGAGCCAAGCGCUAGACUGACCCACAGCAGAGAUGAAGCGGGGUCCCCGGGCCACAGAGGCCAGAGAACAUGGCAGUGGGGGCAGGAAUGGGGUGCAGCGACAUUGCAUCCCUGAGUCCGGGACGGAUGGUUUUACACUGGCGGAGCAUCAGUUGCGUUUAUCUUUAACAUGGGGUCCAACGCCUCUCCCGUGGAAUUAUGUGACCAGGCAAAAGGCAGGUACUAGAUGUUGGCUACUGUUUCCUUGUGGGCUUCUUUGGGGGCAGCCCAGGCUCUCCAACACACACACACACACACACACACACACACUCACACUCACACUCCUGGCUCCCAAUUGUUUUACUGCUAGGGAAGUUCCUCUUCAAUCUAAUCAGAGUCCUUCAUGCUGUAAACUAAGCCUAACUAUGGGACCCGAGAGGGCCAAUCCUUCCAAGGCACUUCUCUUGCUCAAUAAAAACAGCCCCCUGGAGUUCCCGUCGUGGCUC